UGUUUAUGAAAAAAUGGGUUAACCCUAGCUGGACCUGGCACCCAGACCACUUCAUUAAGCUGAAGUGGUCUGGGUGCCUAGAGUGGUCCUUUAAUUUAUACACCAUGCCACUAAAAUCAACGGCAAGUAUAAAAAUGAAAACAUAACUGCCUGGAGUUUUUAUGCCUCCACAAACAGCAUGUUGCACAAGAGCCACGGCUCCUGAUAAAGAGAUCUACAUCCCACAAUUCCUAGCGUGCAUGUGCACCGCUACGCGAUACCACAGAGUGUUUGUUCUUUAUUGCUACGAGUUAGCAAGAAGGUCUCUGAACUGCAGAGAAUUGAAAUCCACACCCAUAUGAAAGGUGUUAUCAUACCUAUGAAAGAGAUGUAAAUUUGGGGGACAGCCUGUAACUGUAAGGCAUGAUAUUUUGGAGCUGUUAGUUUUGUGAGGUUAUAAACGGUGCGCAAAAUCUGUGAUUCUGUACUGCAGUGGCCAGACUGGCUGUACGACCAUUUCCAGCCACAGGAUAAAAAAAAACGAUGAGAAAAACGUUAUUACCAUUUUGCUCCAAAAAACACACAAGGGAUUAUUUUCGGGGGAUGUCAAGCAUGUGCAAGAAAAGAGGUCUAUGUUCGGGGGAAUUACCUCGAAUAUAAACUAGUUCACUAGUGCAUGGACUCCUGCGAAUCUAUGUUUGGGGAAAAUUCCCCGAACAUAGAUUAGCAAACUAACAACUAGAGACCAGAGCUUAUUUUUGGGGAGGGCUAAUAUAACGAGCAUCCCCCAAAAAUAAGCUAGAGGGAUGUCUUAUUUUCUAAGAAAAUGGUGAACAAAUUCUAGUGCAUCUAGGUUAUACAAUUACACCAAGACCAGAAAAAAAUUAAACAGUCUAUUGAGAGGAGUGUAACCUUUUAGCAUUUUUUAAAUAACUGAAGAACAAGCUUGGAUCGGCUGUUAAGUAGGGUACCGCCUUUUUAGGUUUAUUCAAAGACUAUUAAGUAUGGUGCAGCAAAACAUAUUUUUAUGAGACGCUUUCUCCAAUUGUUCUCUGCACAAUCUGUAAUUAUGCCAACUACCAUUAGAGAACAGAAAAGAGAACAUAACACGGUUGGUGUGGAGGAAACAGAAACCUUUAUCCAAAAAGUGAAAAAAACAAUACUGAUAAAUUAAUGGGGCACAGAUUUACUGUUUGGUCUUAUGAUGGACUCCACCAAAGUCCAAAAUUAGGAGCAGGGGCCUUACAAAGUGUUAACUACAUAACCAUCCUUUAGAACAGAAAAAACAUAUAUUUGCAAGAAAUCUAAUAUGUUGAUUCAAUUCUAUAAUAAAAAAUACCAAAGAGUUAGAAUGGCUAGCUAUAGUCACUCUCCCCCAUCAUAUCUUUGGACAUAGUAAAAGGCAAGUUUGAAACCAAACUUGACUUGUGCCAAGGUCAUUUCUGAGCCAGUAACUGAUGAAGGAAAAGAUGAUAAUGAUCAACCCAGUUCUGAUUCUACUGGGCUUAGCAACAUUCCCCAGCAGCAUGAAUCCUGCCAAGGUUAAUGACGAAGAGCUGUAGGCUUCAACUAAGCUCAGCAGGAAUUUGCAGCUACCCACUGAAAUCAAUGCUGUGAACAGUUAUUGAGACAUCUUGUAUUUACCUAGUUUUGCUAGUUCUUGUUGUUUGAUAUCGAAUAUUCAGUCCCUAUUGAAUAGAAUGUUCUGUUUCAUUGAUAGAACUUAAUCAGUAAAGAUAAGUUCACUUCACUGACCAGGUACUACCAGCCAGAACAGGGGUGGCCAGGAAGUAAAUCUCCAACUAUUUUCAGAAACGCAAUUCCCAUGAUGCUUUGCCAUCCGUAUAGCUGGUGAUGUAACCUGGGUUUGUAUUUCAGCAGCUGGGAAUCUACCCUUUUGCCACUCGUGAUCUAGAAUCUAGAUUAGUUGGUCCCAACCUUUUUUGGAGCAAGGGACACAUUACUAAAGAAAAACUCCAAGAUAAAUUUAAAUUUUUUCCACUUUUCAACAAAUGUAAAAUGUCACAUUUCCUCUAAGAUUUAUUAGAGAGAUAUACAUUCUUCUAGCCAAACUGACUUGUUAGCUUUAAUUAAUUUCCAGGUGGGAAUCCCAAUGUAAUUGGCAUUUAUAAAACAUAUUUAAAAAAAAAAAAAAAAACCCACAUUCAAAGUCUGUAGUGGACCUGAUAUAAGUCGAUGUGACUUGAGGCACACUGGUGCCACGGCGCACUGGUUGAAUCUCACUGAUCUAUAUUAUUAAUACGGACAAUAAGUGAAGCUCAUAAUUGCAAUUUAAAGCAGAUAUAUUACUUUGCUUUAAAUGGCCCUGUUGAUUUUAACCAAACCAUGACCACCAACCACUAAAAGGCUGAUUAUAGUGUUUUCUGUAUAGAGUAAUUUUUUUUGAAUUUACAACUUAUACAAAUUAAGAGCUGUGUGAAUAUUAUAAACCUCCUACAGAUAUUCAAAGGUUUUUAAAAAUGCUUUACAUGAAUGACUAGUUUAUUGUUUCCAGAUCGAUUCCUCUGGUGCACAAUCUAAAAGAUUUCAACAGGGAAAUUGCAUAGUAUGAAUAUGUCAAAGUUGCAGACGAAGACAAAGGAAUAACUAUUCUGCUUACAGAAAAUGUACAAUAAUACAUACUAACUGUGUUUCUGUAAGGGGUACUGCAACUUAGCCAUUUACAAAGAGGUACUCCAGGAUAGAAAUGGCCACAAAUUUUUCUAAAUGCAUAUAAGCCGAGGCACUGAAAAGGCAGAACCCCAGAUGUUGUAUAACUGAACGUACAACUCUCAUGAUGCUUUGCCAGCCACAAAGCAUUGUGAAUGUCAUAGAUCUACCCACAGAAAUAUAUUUUAGGUUCCCCUGAUAUAGAGAAUGGAUUUGAAAAUCAAUCAUGCGUGAAUAUCAAUGGAAAAAAAAAAAAAAUGAAAUAAAAAAUAACUAUCUUUUAAAUUCAUUUAAUUUAGUGCAGAGGUCCAGCUACCUUCAGACUAUAAAAAUCACUGAAUCAUCUCAUGUAAUCUUUAGUUUCCAAGAAAGAAAGCUGAGCAUAUUCCAUAAACCUCUGUCCGUAUGGGAUAUGUAGUUCAGCUUUAGGGCAGUUCUGUUCAUUAAAAGACGUGAAAGAAACUGGCACUCUAUGGUGCUCUAUCAACUUGUCACAUAGCUCUAUUUGAUUUGUUUGUUUUUAUGAAUGUUAGUUGUGUCCAUAGCAGCAUCUCUCUCAUUGUAUUUUGAGUGUAUGUUAUUACCUAUUAUAUGCUCAAAUAUUGGGAUUUUAUUACUAUAGUUUAUUAUUCUAUUCUGCUAACUUUUCCAUUCACUCCCACAUUUUCUUGAUAAGCACUUAUUUGGAUUAACACUCUGGUUUUUAAAGGCAGCAUGUUUCAAUGCAUUGAUUGGUAGGGUGUACAUAAAGAUAUUUAUGGGAUUGUUGUUCCCCACUCAACUACCUAUAACCAAAAGCAUACACACACACACACACACACACACCAAUUGGGGCAGCAUUUUUAGAAAGAUCACACUUAAGCAUACAUGCCUACACUUUAAUACUGUGACAAAAACUGGAGGUUUUAAAGUAACACUCCAGCUUUAUUAAAAAAACAAAACAAACGUUAAUAACACUGGAAUCUUGAUUACAGUUACUGUUGGAAUGUUGAUUUAGAUAACUGCCCCCUACGCCUCCGCUCCCCUAAACAUGAAGACAUUUCCCUCUAAUCAAGCUUUCCUGCUGCAGUCCCGUACCACAGCUCCGUUACAGCACUAGUGAUGAUAUUCUGGGGAAUCCAAUGCUUCACACUAAAAGGCACAGAUAUAGGCAGUGAUUGCCACUCUGAAGCAGUCAUGCUUCUCAUAGAAAAGUACUUGUAUCAAUGCCCCUCUACGAGAAGCCCUCACUUCCUCCUUGAACUAGCACCCAAUGAUAGUGAGAAAGAGAACCCUGCUGGCUGUGUAGUUCACAGCUGGGAGGGCCCAACUCAGGACCUUAAUAUAAGAGCAGAUAUCUCUUGAUAUUGGCACUUUUAUAAAGUAGAAAAGAAGGGACACGGUAUAGAGUGUUCCUUUAACUAGUGCUGAACGGGCUCCUGAAAACAAUGUUCUAUUAGUUUUGUGAAAUAAAGCCUCCGUUUUUAAGUUCUGGAACCAUAGCAGCAUAGGUGUAUGUGCCCUUAAAGGGACACUAUUGUCACAAGAACAACUACAGCUUAUUGAAUUUGUUCUGGUGAAUAGAAUCAUUAACUUCAGGCUUUUUGCUGUAAACAUUG
rnacentral:lncRNA from 1 species